UACGGAGGAUCCAAGCGUUAUCCGGAUUUAUUGGGUUUAAAGGGUGCGUAGGCGGUUCUUUUAAGUCAGGGGUGAAAGACGGUAGCUUAACUAUCGCAGUGCCUUUGAUACUGAAGAACUUGAAUACACUUGAGGUAGGCGGAAUGUGACAAGUAGCGGUGAAAUGCUUAGAUAUCGUCCAGAACACCGAUAGCGAAGGCAGCUUACUAAAGAGUAACUGACGCUGAGGCACG
rnacentral:rRNA from 1 species